CUACGCACAUACGAAGUGACCAAUCGCCUCCGAUCAGAAUCCAUCGCGCAGAUCGAGGAAAGCAAAAAAGACACAGAUGAGGACAUGGCAGUCCACGACCUUCGCUCUUCUGUGUGCCGUCCGGUUAUUGUGUCCUGAAGGAAGCGCGGCUACUGAUGGUGCACUGAUGGGCGAUAAAAGGAAUGGACCGAU